AUAUUUCGGAACUGAAUCUAGUUCCUUCGAUAUCAAUGCAAUCUAAUAAUCAUGAAUUUUCUGUAUUCGUAUUAUGUACUCAGGUGAAUAUAUAAUGUCUGUGUCUGUGAUAACACCAACACAGAAAAUUCACGAUUAUUAGAUUGUAUUGAGAUCGAAGGAACUAGAUUCAGUUCCGAAAUAU